GACUUUUAUUUUGGUCUGGCGAUGUGACGUCAUAAAUCCGCGCCCCUUCUAGCGUCAACUCGCUCCCUGCGUUUGUUGUGAUUCGGCUGAAGAAAGGAAAAAGUGUCCAAACACACAGAAAACUCCUUGACUGAGAUCCACUGAAUAUUAUAAAGAUGGAGUUUAUUAAAGAGGAGAGUGAAGAUAUGAAGAUUGAAGAAACAUUCAAACAAGAAGAUACUGAGGAACAAACAGGAUUUCCUAAUUGCACCACCAGUGGUUCCUGAUUACUGCUCCAGUCGCAUAGCAAUUGUGCGAGAUGACAGCUGCCAUCCUGAGUCUUGACAGCCUGGCCAAUUUCACACUUCUGGAUAUAGCAUACAUGCAUAACAUAUAAAUAUGUUUUG